rnacentral:rRNA from 1 species
UACGUAGGGUGCAAGCGUUGUCCGGAAUUAUUGGGCGUAAAGAGCUUGUAGGCGGUUUGUCGCGUCUGCUGUGAAAUUUCGGGGCUCAACCCCGAACUUGCAGUGGGUACGGGCAGACUAGAGUGUGGUAGGGGAGACUGGAAUUCCUGGUGUAGCGGUGAAAUGCGCAGAUAUCAGGAGGAACACCGAUGACGAAGGCAGGUCUCUGGGCCAUAACUGACGCUGAGAAGCGAAAGCGUGGGGAGCGAACAGG